GCAGGUGUCACCUGGCAUCCGGACAGGACCUGGCACAGGGCGGCUCUGCCCCCGCCAGGCCCACGGCGCUGCUCUGGUCAGCAGAGCAGGACUCGGGCCCAGGCGGGGGGACUCCUCGCGGGUGCUCAGCGCCUCUGACCGCUUCCUGGCGGAGGAGUGGAGACAGGAUUCUGUGGCCAGAGGGGGCGAGGACGGAAGUCGUUUCCUGUUCGCCUGGUUCACUGGGCAGAAGCUCCGUGUUCCUCUUCGAAGCCUCACAGGGGCUGCGCCAGGUACAGGGGGGUGCCGGGGUCGGAGUCGGCCCCCACCCGAGCAGCGCCUCCCCCGGGCACAGAGCCUCUGCGCCUGUGUGGGGCGGGUGCAGGGAGCGCGGCAGAGCCUGGGCUGCGGUGCCAGGCAGACGCGGGCUCCAGCUCAGGCCCAGGUACUUAGCAGCUGAGUGACCUCCGACAAAGUGCUUCACCUCUCUGAGCCAAAUAAGGCUAAGGGUCAUUCCUAACCCCUGCGGUGGUGUUAGCACCAACACGUGCAAAACUUCCCAGCGCACACACGCCUGCCUGCUCCAGGCCUUAGUUAGGCACCUGCGGGCUGGAUUUCUGGAAUUCUCCACGACUCUCUUACUCACCCCAGACUGGCCGCCUGGGUCCUCCCAGUGGUCCUUCUGAGACGGGCCCAGAUCAGCCUGCAGGCUGCGUGCUGCCCGAGCCUGUCCACGGUGUUGGCAGGGAGCUGGCCAGCCACAGCCGAGGACAGGCCCCCGCUUGCCCUCUGGGCGCAUGAAGUCGCUUCCCUGGAACUCAGCCACACGUGUGCAGAAAGUCUCCCUCAGGCCUCUCGGGCUCCGCCAGCAGAGUGGAGGGUGGAACAGGUGUCCCCUCCGUCCUCGCCCGUGCGACACUGACGAUAUGCCCAGGUUAGAUGCCAACGUGUGUGGACCUUGCAAGUCCCGAGCAAGCGUUGCUGGGAGGAGGGUGUGCAGGCAGAGCCUCCCAGAACGCCCCAGCCUCCGAGGAGGGACCCUGCAUGUGAUCUCCCUGCUCCUCACGUCCCCGGGGGAGAGAGGCUGGGUGGCACUGGGGUUGGGGGGAGGCCACCCUCAGGAGCGGGGGCUCUGGAGAGAAAGCAGUGCCGAUUUUCUACUUGGCGUCCAGACCAGCCUGCUGUGUGGCCUUGGGCAGGUUGUCUGACCUCUCUGAGCUCCAGGAAGUGGAUGGUUAAUAGGGUCAGUGCCCAUAGGUGUAAGCUAAGGCCUCUUGGGCAGCAGGCCAGCAGCCUGCCCCCCUCUCCUGCCCCCAGAGCAACUCCACAUGCUCUUCAUGCCCCGCGUCCAGGGCCUCGGGAUCACUGUCCCCUUCUCUCACAUCCUUGGGAUCAGAGGUCACUGGUCCCCGGGAGCUCUGGCCUCCCAGCUCUGCAAAGGCGAGGCAUGGGGUGCGGUGUGGAGCCUGGGGGGCCCUGCAGCGUGGGCUGUCACCGUGACAGAGGGGAGUCUGGGAGCUGCUCCAGGGAGGACGCAGGGCCAGGCCGAGCUGGGCACAAGGGCACCCUCAGCUGGCCUCGUGUGCUGGCACUGCCCCCUCCCGCACCCGGCCACUGGUUUCCUGGGAGCCCUGUUAGGGCUGAGCUUGGAGCAGCGAGGCGGGCUCAGAAAGGAACAGUUCCCAGCCAUCCUUGGGCCUCUUCCCCGCUGGGAGUGCCCCCUCUGUGGCGUGUCCCUCGGAGCCCCCAGCUGCCCCCGCUGGAGUGUCCGCAGCAUGACAGGAGCGGCCCUCGUCACCCUGAUGUCUCACCAGCAGGAGCGGAGCCAGGCGCGUAGUAGGUGCUGAGCAGACAAUCGUGGGUACCGCGUCUGGGUGUCGCCAGCCUCGAGCCUCCUGCCUCCCCCCUCCCUAGUGCCCUCAGCGGGCAGCCCUGGGUCAGCAGGCAGCCCUGGGUCGGCUGCAGGACCCCGCAGCCCCCACCCAGGAGCCGGUGACACCACAGCACAUGGCGUCUCGUGUUUGGAAACUGGCCUCUUGUAGUCACAUCCAUCGUCCCCCAGAGCCGCGACCUCCUCACUUACCAAACCCAGUGAGAACCUCCCCCUGCAGGCUGCUGCCCAGGCGGCGUGGCUUUCUCCCCUCCCCUGGACCCCAGAGACAGCUCCUCCUGGCCCUGGCCACAUUUCCAGUGCCUGAACCCUGUGCGCACCUCCGAGGAGGUAUUGUCGUCCUCCUCAUGUCACACAGAUGGGGAAAUAGGCUGAGAGACAGGCUCAGAGAUGUCAAGCAAUGUACCAGGGACACACAGCAAGAGACCUGGGUUUGGUGGUAAAUAUACAGUGGUGUUUAAUAAAUGCUGAUGACCUCCUAUCAGAAGAGGAGGGUUUGUUGGCCCCCACCCCUGCUUGUCACCUUUCCUGCGUGAGUGCAGUCCAACAGAGCCCUGCUGUGACAGGGACCUCCCAGGGCCAGGGUCCUCUGACUCUCAGUGUCCCGGGGUCCUCUGACUCUGUGUCCCGCGGCAGCUCUUAGGCGUGGAAGCUCUUAGGUGCUCACCUGCAGGGCCUCCUCUCCUCCCUCUUCUCCCGGUGACAAAGCGUCUAGCUGUCCCUUGGCAUACAGGGCUGGUUCUGGGACACCCUGCCUCACCGUUGGUGCCCACACCCGCGGGGGCUCAGGUUCUCGGGUUUGCAGUGACCCUGGGCACACCCUCCAGUGGCCUCGGAGCGGCCUCUCCAUCCUUCUGACGCCUGUGCCCCGUGAGGGCCUCUCCGCACCCGGGGCGCGUCUUCCUGCAGGGAGGGGCCCUCAUGCUCGGCACCGGGCGACGUUUUUCCCAAAUAUCCCCUCGGAGGUCGGUUGAGUCUGGGACACGGAGCCCCCGAGGCAGAGGGCUGGACGCGCAGAGCACACUCGGCUCCAGGGCCGCUGGGCUGGGCUGGCCGCAGCGUGUCGCCUGCCAACUCCCGCUCCAGAUCUGUGCUGUCCCGCACAGUGGCCCCUGGCCACCUGCAGCUUCUGGCCACUCAGAAGCAAGGCUGACCGUCUGUCCCAGGCUGGACUUGGGUCUCAGUUUCCACCGGCUGCUGGUGGGAUGCGCCCGCGUCUCUGAGAGUCGCGAGGCCCUGGCCAGCCGUCUCCAGGGGAGGGGGGCCGUGGCCGUGGGAAGCCCAGGCUGGCGGGCGCCGCGGGCUCACUGGCAUUUCAAGGGCCGCCGAGGGCAGCUGGGCCGCUGCCAUCUGCCUCCGGAAGAGCUUCAAGUGCGUGGCCCCGUGAGCUCCCUUUGUUCCAGGGGCGCAGCCGGCCGUCCUCGUCCAGGGGCGCAGGCCUGAGCCGCUGCAGUUGCUGGGGGGCUGGCCGUGGCCGUGGACCCUCUCUCUGCUGGUGCUAGGUGUGCUGACUGAUCUGGGGCUUCAGGAACAGGGCUGUGCCGGCAGGAAGCCUUGGUGAGCAGGCGCGCGGGCUGGGCCCCAAGGAUGACAGCGCCCAGGAGAGGCCAACUUCUGGUACAAAUAGGUGCUCAUUAAAAGCUGGAAUCACCGAAUAGCCAGGGGUCGCAGGAGAAGGCGUGAGUAGGCUCUGGGAAGCUGCUGCUGUGCCACCUUGGAUGCCUGCCAGGGGAGGGUCCUGACCGUCCUCAGUGGCCCUCUCCGGCUGACACUUUGAGGCCCAUUUUACAGAUGAGCUCAGAGCAGUUAAGUCUGUUGCCCCACCUCACACAGCCAGGAAGGGGCCAAGCUGGGAUUCCAGCCCAGGCCCCCCGACUCUGAAUGUCCUGGGACCCAGGCUUGACCUUGACUGUGGAAAGGGAUGGGAGGGGCAGAUGGGGAAACCAUCACGGAGCCUCCUGACUGGCCCCGGCCUCCACUGUGCCCUGCAGGUCCCCUCUGGCUGCUGCCCGCCCACACCUCCAGCCCUACCCUCCAGCCCGCAGCUCCCCUGAGACUUCCCUCCACCCACCCCCACCGCAGGGCCUUGGCACGCUCUGUUCCUCUGCCUGGAACCCCUGGGCAGAGCAUGGUCAUCUGGAUUGAAGGCCAGGCCUCCUGGGCUGGGUGUGAGCUUGGGCCCUGCUCAGCCGCUCCCCAGACUCACAGCUGGGGCAGCCCCUUGGGUCCUAGUUUCCCCUCCCUGCGAUGGGGAUUCCAUGGCUUGCACCUGGCCAGGUCCAGGCCCUGCCGAGUCCAGAAGGGUUUAGUGAGCAGCUCCUAGAUGCACAGCCCUGUGCACAGCUGGGGGAUACAUAGCCUUGGGCAGAGGUGACAGGAGGCCCUGCGCCCUGGGACCAGAGGUGCUGGGAGUGUGUGGUCAUAUUCUGGGAGUAAAUGUUGCAGUUUUGAUAGUAAAUUUCAUUGUGCGGGGAGUACCAGGGAUUGAACCCAGGGGCCCUCGCCCACGGAGCCCCGUCCCCAGCCCUACUUGCAUUUUAUUUAGAGACAGGGUCUCCCUGAGCUGCUUAAGGCCUCGCUGUGGCUGAGGAUGGCCCUGAACUCGAUCCUCCUGCCUCAGUCUUCCCAGCCGCUGGGGUAACGAGGUCCUCACUGCCUACCUGCAGAUGGAGACGGUGGGAACAUCGGGAAGUGGAGAAGGGAGGAUUGGAGUCCAGGCAGUCAGGCCUGGACUUUUGGGUCCUUUUGGGUCCUUUUGGGUCUGUGGGCUCCCUCGGGGUGACAGCUCUUCCCGUGAGCGGGGAGAACCCAGCGGGGCUUAGGAGUUCU